rnacentral:rRNA from 1 species
UACGUAGGGUGCAAGCGUUGUCCGGAAUUAUUGGGCGUAAAGAGCUCGUAGGCGGUCUGUCGCGUCUGCUGUGAAAACCUGGGGCUUAACCCCCGGGCCUGCAGUGGGUACGGGGCAGACUAGAGUGUGGUAGGGGAGACUGGAAUUCCUGGUGUAGCGGUGAAAUGCGCAGAUAUCAGGAGGAACACCGGUGGCGAAGGCGGGUCUCUGGGCCGAUACUGACGCUGAGGAGCGAAAGCGUGGGGAGCGAACAGG